AAACUCAACAGCCCCGUGUAGCAGGAGCUGCCCGGAGAAUGUGCCUGCUGAAGAGCCGGCUUCAUUAAUAAGGACUACGUGCUCUGCAGUCAGAAAAACAUGCCGAAACAAAAUCAAGCUAUAUGUAAUAACUGUCUGAAUUCCUUGCUGUCCAGCAAAGGAAGACAGCGGUUAGCUAAAAAUGCUCUGUAACUUCUCUUUGGGUUGCUGUGCCUCUUUCACACUUCACUACUGAAGCGCCAGGUUUCCAGACCUUUAUACAUUUAAGGACAGUAUGUCUGACAACCAACAAAAUCAGAAGAGAAGCAAAGAAGAUUGUGGAAUUGGUGUUGCUCUUGAGAAUGCAGAGAAGAUAACGAAACAAAUGCAUCGGUCAUACAAAGCUCUGGGAAAAAACAGACAAACAGCACCAACAUCCAGUCCAUGGCCGGAUCAACAAGUGGCAUAUUUUCCAAGUAAUAAUCAGUUAGCAUUACAGAUGAGACAUCACACUUCUUUACCUUUCUUCCUGAAGAAAGAGAAUGUAGUGUAUGGCUUUGACUUCAGCGUUCUGCUACAGGCCUCAUGCCCAGAAUCUAAUGUUUCGAAAUCAUUUAUGGGUUUAAACGCUUUCCAGAUAAUAAAAGCAGAAAUACAACAAAGGUUAAAUAUAGCAAUGCUAAAACCCAGGAACAACAGCUCUAAGCAAAUCUUCAGAUGUAAAUCAACAAUUUGUCAGUAAGGAUUUUGGAAAUUCCUGUCAUCAGGGAUUUUGGGGAGUAAAGAGUUGGAAGUUCAACAAGAUACAAACCCUUUUAAAAAAGGAAUAUGCAAGUUAAUUUCAAGUAUGUGCAUCCUAUAUAUUAAAUGUCUCUAUAUAUCCUAUAUACAUAUAUAUUUAUGUCUAUAUAAAUCCUUUAUAUUAGAUGUCUGGUUUUGCCAAAUUUAAAAAACCCCCACAAUUUCCUUCUCUUGAAUGGUAAUUUAAAAUUGAAGCCCAAUUGAAGAACAGUCUGGAUAUUGGAUGAUUGCUGAAAUUUAUUGCAUUAACAAAUAAAAAAUAAGGAAUUAAAC
rnacentral:lncRNA from 1 species